CGCGUAGGCGGGAUGGCAAGUCGGUCGUGAAAUCCCUCGGCUCAACCGAGGAACGUCGAUCGAUACUGCCGUUCUUGAGGGUUGCAGAGGAGACUGGAAUUCCCGGUGUAGCGGUGAGAUGUGUAGAGAUCGGGAGGAACACCGGUGGCGAAGGCGGGUCUCUGGGCAAUUCCUGACGCUGAGGCGCGAAAGCGUGGGAGCAAACG
rnacentral:rRNA from 1 species